GAAGCAUUUCUCACGAUCCCUUCGGGGUGACGAGUUAUUGACUGAGUGGCGGACGGGUGAGUAACGCGUGGGUAACCUACCUUGUACAGGGGGACAACAGUUGGAAACGACUGCUAAUACCGCAUAAGCGCACAGCAUCGCAUGAUGCAGUGUGAAAAGUUUUUUCGGUACAAGAUGGACCCGCGUCUGAUUAGCUAGUUGGUGAGGUAACGGCCCACCAAGGCGACGAUCAGUAGCCGACCUGAGAGGGUGACCGGCCACAUUGGGACUGAGACACGGCCCAAACUCCUACGGGAGGCAGCAGUGGGGAAUAUUGCACAAUGGGCGCAAGCCUGAUGCAGCGACGCCGCGUGAGCGAAGAAGUAUUUCGGUAUGUAAAGCUCUAUCAGCAGGGAAGAUAAUGACGGUACCUGACUAAGAAGCACCGGCUAAAUACGUGCCAGCAGCCGCGGUAAUACGUAUGGUGCAAGCGUUAUCCGGAUUUACUGGGUGUAAAGGGAGCGUAGGCGGUUUUACAAGUCUGAUGUGAAAGCCCGGGGCUCAACUCCGGUAUUGCAUUGGAAACUGUAGAACUAGAGUGUCGGAGGGGUAAGUGGAAUUCCUAGUGUAGCGGUGAAAUGCGUAGAUAUUAGGAGGAACACCAGUGGCGAAGGCGGCUUACUGGACGAUUACUGA
rnacentral:rRNA from 1 species